UUCUUCAUUUAGCAAAGAGGAAAAUCGAGAGAGAGAGAGAGAGAGAGAGGGAGUAGAAAACAGGUUUCCUUCCUCUAAAACCCUAAAUCGUCGGCCCUUUUUCUCCCUCUACCUCUGACUAUCACUAACUCCAACCAAAAAACUAACAUCAUUUCCUUGUUAUUCGUUGCACAGUCGUCAUAAUGAACCAAUUGGAUUUCCCAUUUGAAGAACCUUGUCUUCGACCACCGUUCUCCAUUUUCGUGCUCAUCAUCACACGACCUUCAAUUUAAACCAAAUGGAUUCUCGUUUCGAGAAACCUCGUCGUGACCACUCUCUUCCAUCGAGAACCACCGCAAGCCACUGCGUCAGUUUUCCUCUGGUCAUUGUUUGUUCACCUUUUCUUGUACCACCAUUUACAUCAUGUUGGUCACAAGACAUAAAGCAUGGGUGAAGAAGAGUAUGUUGACAUAGUUGUGGGAUCAUAAGGCAUGUGAGUUCGUCAUUAUGUUUGGUUCAAGUGCGGCAUCGAGAGCUAAUGAUUAUCCAAGGAACGCAUGGAUUCUAGUACGAGAAACAAGAUACAACUGGGAGGAAAAGUAGAUGCGUGGAUCGUAUAAUCUUUAUGGACCUUUGGUGAGUGUCAGUACAUGCAUCAUAAGUGCAAGUAUUAUCAAAAUCAGACAGUGAUGAAAAAUCAGUUAAAAAUAACUCAUAAUAUGUUUGAUCAACUAAAUAAUAAAGCAAUUCAAUUUGAAAAACUAAAUUCUCUUCCAUGGCAUGUUUCAUGGCAUAAAAAAUGUUAAAUUUUGUAGUAAUAUCACCAAAUUACAUGGACAUUGUUCCACCAUCGACGUCAAUUUUUGUUUUUGCAGGUUUUAAGAACGAUCUGUUUAAAAUGAUGGGUGCCCUACUUGCAUUUGAAUUAGUUUCUCCUUCCAUAUAUAGAAUUUAAAAAUAUAUAGGAAAAAUCAAACCAUUAACUUGAAUAAGUACAUCUUCCACUACUUUGACAUGGCGGACAUUGCUUUUGUUUUCCAGCUGGAUGGUCAAACAUGUAUUAUGUAAAGGACUAAGAUCAAGAUUGUUAAAAAUAUAAGUAUGCAUAACAUUAAUGGAAACUCCUAAAUCUAACAUGCAAUUUUUGAAUUUAAUAUCCCCAAUGGUACACGAAAUAGAUAAAGUUUCUAGAUCAUUGCACUUUUGGAGCAUGGUUUGAGUGAGAACUGAAAUAUUUUUCCAUGCUUUAACUCUUUCAAGUACAAGCAUAAGUUCAAUAAAGACUUAAACAUUUUGUCUCA